CCUACGGGUGGCAGCAGUGGGGAAUAUUGGACAAUGGGCGAAAGCCUGAUCCAGCCAUGCCGCGUGUGUGAAGAAGGCCUUCGGGUUGUAAAGCACUUUCAGUGGGGAAGAAAGCCUUGGGGCUAAUACCCUCGAGGAAGGACAUCACCCACAGAAGAAGCACCGGCUAACUCCGUGCCAGCAGCCGCGGUAGUACGGAGGGUGCGAGCGUUAAUCGGAAUUACUGGGCGUAAAGCGCGCGUAGGCGGUCUGAUAAGCCGGUUGUGAAAGCCCCGGGCUCAACCUGGGAACGGCAUCCGGAACUGUCAGGCUAGAGUGCAGGAGAGGAAGGUAGAAUUCCCGGUGUAGCAGUGAAAUGCGUAGAGAUCGGGAGGAAUACCAGUGGCGAAGGCGGCCUUCUGGACUGACACUGACGCUGAGGUGCGAAAGCGUGGGUAGCAAACAGGAUUAGAUACCCCAGUAGUC
rnacentral:rRNA from 1 species